GGGGGGGGGGGGGUGUAUAUUCAUAUAUUCAUGUUCAUAUACCGUAAAAACAAUCCCUUUCAAAAGAAAUCCGUCUGGCAGAACACGAAUAUAUGAAUAUGCACCCCACCCCCACCAAUUAUCGGUCUAGCGGUUAGCUACGGCCCUGAAAGUUCGGGUUAUUGACCUUUUUCAUCAGCUCUAAAAUAUAGUUAUAGUUAUAGUGCUCGCUCAAAAUCCCACGUAUAAAAUUGAACCUUUCGACAAAUCAGGAGUUGCUUCGGUCCAAUUACUGUUUAUCAGCUUGUUAUUAUCUAUUGCCACUUGCAUGCUGUUUACCAGGUUAGCCCAUUGUACGAAAGAAAGAUCAAAGCAACAUAGCUCGGGUUCGGACACUAUUUCUGAACAUGUUAUGAAAAUAGAGUCCCAGGGCAAUCAGCAAACACUCGAAAUUCCUCGUUCUUUUGAGGAAAGUACUGUCGAGAACAGUCACCUAGUUCAUUUCUUUUAGUCUCUGGAGGUACAAAAUGUCACCUGUCUUACUUAAAGGACAUCACGCUAAAUCUUAUCUACAGUCUUAUCGCAGAGCCUUUCUCGCGCCGCGCGGCUUGAUGCCCACCAAUGUUUGAGCAUUAAUUAUGCGAUUACAAUAAUUUACAAUUAUGUAGAUCAUUUAUGG